rnacentral:misc_RNA from 1 species
UGGAGCAAUUUGUGUCCUUUGGUUUUAUCAUCAGUAUUGUCGGAAGGAGACUGGCUCGAAAUUGCAAAUAAUUUUGAAGAAUUGUCCAAUUUCAUUCACUGCAUUGGUGCUAUCGAUGGAAAACAUGUAACAAUUCAAGUAUGUGUUCCAAUGUUCACUGUCGUUGUCGAUGAAACUCAUUUUUUGUUGAUACAACUGAUACAACAUUCAAACCAAUUCAAACACGUCUAUUUUUUGCUCGAGUUGGGCCUUUCUGAACUUCAAGCGGCAAAACGACGCAUCGACCAAAAGCGCCAGAGUGGGAAGAGCCGCUAGCGUUUUGACGCUACGUGAAAUUGCACCUUAACACAAAUUUGAGAGUUUCAUCACCGGUAGCUACGUGGAAGUUAUUGGAAAGGUUAUUUAGAAGGAUACUGCUAUACCACAAUACUGAAACGAAUUCAAUAGAUGAACGAAGAAAAAGCAGAGAAACGCUAAACUUUAACAAUAAAAAUUGAUAUUGUGCCGUAACAUUUAUUUUGGAAAAAAAAUUUGCUUUAGAGGGAAAGAAAAAACACGGAGUUCUGAUAAAGUAAUAUUAUAUUUUAACAAAAAAAUAAAGCACAAAAUUCCUAUAACAUAAAAAACUGCAACAAAACAAA